rnacentral:rRNA from 1 species
CUGUAACACAUGCAAGUCGAACGAGGACCUUGCGGGUCUAGUGGCGCACGGGUGCGGUAACGCGUGGGAAUCUGCCCUUUGCGUUCGGAAUAACAGUUAGAAAUGACUGCUAAUACCGGAUGAUGUCUUCGGACCAAGGAUUUAUCGGCAAAGGAUGAGCCCGCGUAGGAUUAGGUAGGUGUGGUGGGGUAAAGGCCUACCAAGCCGACGAUCCUGUAGCUGGUCUGAGAGGAUGAUCAGCGCACACUGGGACUGAGACACGG